AGAGUUUGAUCCUGGCUCAGGACGAACGCUGGCGGCGCGCCUAACACAUGCAAGUCGAACGAGAGAUGAGGAGCUUGCUCUUCAAAUCGAGUGGCGAACGGGUGAGUAACGCGUGAGGAACCUGCCUCAAAGAGGGGGACAACAGUUGGAAACGACUGCUAAUACCGCAUAAGCCCACGGCUCGGCAUCGAGCAGAGGGAAAAGGAGCAAUCCGCUUUGAGAUGGCCUCGCGUCCGAUUAGCUAGUUGGUGAGGUAACGGCCCACCAAGGCGACGAUCGGUAGCCGGACUGAGAGGUUGAACGGCCACAUUGGGACUGAGACACGGCCCAGACUCCUACGGGAGGCAGCAGUGGGGAAUAUUGCACAAUGGGGGAAACCCUGAUGCAGCGACGCCGCGUGGAGGAAGAAGGUCUUCGGAUUGUAAACUCCUGUUGUUGAGGAAGAUAAUGACGGUACUCAACAAGGAAGUGACGGCUAACUACGUGCCAGCAGCCGCGGUAAAACGUAGGUCACAAGCGUUGUCCGGAAUUACUGGGUGUAAAGGGAGCGCAGGCGGGAGAACAAGUUGGAAGUGAAAUCCAUGGGCUCAACCCAUGAACUGCUUUCAAAACUGUUUUUCUUGAGUAGUGCAGAGGUAGGCGGAAUUCCCGGUGUAGCGGUGGAAUGCGUAGAUAUCGGGAGGAACACCAGUGGCGAAGGCGGCCUACUGGGCACCAACUGACGCUGAGGCUCGAAAGUGUGGGUAGCAAACAGGAUUAGAUACCCUGGUAGUCCACACCGUAAACGAUGAUUACUAGGUGUUGGAGGAUUGACCCCUUCAGUGCCGCAGUUAACACAAUAAGUAAUCCACCUGGGGAGUACGACCGCAAGGUUGAAACUCAAAGGAAUUGACGGGGGCCCGCACAAGCAGUGGAGUAUGUGGUUUAAUUCGACGCAACGCGAAGAACCUUACCAAGUCUUGACAUCCUGCGACGCACAUAGAAAUAUGUGUUUCCUUCGGGACGCAGAGACAGGUGGUGCAUGGUUGUCGUCAGCUCGUGUCGUGAGAUGUUGGGUUAAGUCCCGCAACGAGCGCAACCCUUAU
rnacentral:rRNA from 1 species